rnacentral:lncRNA from 1 species
UGGUUGAUGAGAGUCAGAUGUCCCAACAUCCUGAAAUAAAAAAAAUAAAAUAUUAUUAAUAAAUUUCAAUAUGGAGAUAUAUUUUUUUGAUAUAGAGGUAUAUCUUUUGAUACACUCCUUCGAUUCUCGAAUAGAUUAUUUCUACAUAUUUUAUUCAAUAAUACGGAGCUAUAGACAUCCCUGAUCCAUCAAUUAGAUAGAUUAAAUUUUUAGCCCCU